rnacentral:rRNA from 1 species
UACGUAGGGUGCGAGCGUUAAUCGGAAUUACUGGGCGUAAAGCGUGCGCAGGCGGUUUGUUAAGUCUGAUGUGAAAGCCCCGGGCUCAACCUGGGAACUGCAUUGGAAACUGGCAAGCUCGAGUAUGGCAGAGGGGGUGGAAUUCCGCGUGUAAGCAGUGAAAUGCGUAGAGAUGCGGAGGAACACCGAUGGCGAAGGCAGCCCCUGGGCCAAUACUGACGCUCAGGCACGAAAGCGUGGGGAGCAAACAGG